rnacentral:rRNA from 1 species
CCUACGGGAGGCAGCAGUGAGGAAUAUUGGUCAAUGGACGAGAGUCUGAACCAGCCAAGUAGCGUGAAGGAUGACUGCCCUAGGGGUUGUAAACUUCUUUUAUAUGGGAAUAAAAUGUUCCACGUGUGGGAUUUUGUAUGUACCAUAUGAAUAAGGAUCGGCUAACUCCGUGCCAGCAGCCGCGGUAAUACGGAGGAUCCGAGCGUUAUCCGGAUUUAUUGGGUUUAAAGGGAGCGUAGGUGGAUUGUUAAGUCAGUUGUGAAAGUGUGCGGCUCAACCGUAAAAUUGCAGUUGAAACUGGCAGUCUUGAGUGCAGUAGAGGUGGGCGGAAUGCGUGGUGUAGCGGUGAAAUGCUUAGAUAUCACGAAGAACUCCGAUGGCGAAGGCAGUUCACUGGACUGCAACUGACGCUGAGGCUCGAAAGUGUGGGUAUCAAACAGGAUUAGAUACCCCUGUAGUC